rnacentral:rRNA from 1 species
AACGAACGCUGGCGGCAGGCUUAACACAUGCAAGUCGAACGAUGAAGCCGGAGCUUGCUCUGGUGGAUUAGUGGUGAACGGGUGAGUAACACGUGAGUAACCUGCCCUUGACUCUGGGAUAAGCGUUGGAAACGACGUCUAAUACCGGAUACGAGCUAGGACCGCAUGGUCACUAGCUGGAAAGAAUUUCGGUCAAGGAUGGACUCGCGGCCUAUCAGUUAGUUGGUGAGGUAACGGCUCACCAAGACGACGACGGGUAGCCGGCCUGAGAGGGUGACCGGCCACACUGGGACUGAGACACGGCCCAGACUCCUACGGGAGGCAGCAGUGGGGAAUAUUGCACAAUGGGCGCAAGCCUGAUGCAGCAACGCCGCGUGAGGGACGACGGCCUUCGGGUUGUAAACCUCUUUUAGCAGGGAAAAAGCGCAAGUGACGGUACCUGCAGAAAAAGCACCGGCUAACUACGUGCCAGCAGCCGCGGUAAAAC